rnacentral:lncRNA from 1 species
UGUAUCUGCUUAUUCUACAAUAAGUGUUGAAGAUGUUGCUUUAUUUCUGGGAAUGAGUGAGGAUGCUGCUACAAGUUGUAAGUAGUUUUAUGUUCAUUUUUAAAUCAAACAAUGCUUGUCUAUUUGUUUUAGCACCUCUUGCAUCAUAAACAAUGUUUACGUGAUAAUUUUUUUUUACAUUAAAUAACAUCCACAAGCAAUCAAUGCAUUUAUUAUAACUUGAUUGGGGUCAACGUUAUUUCUGCAUGACUAGAUGAAGUUCAUUAAUGCCCGGCCUCUAUCCUUUCUCGACGACCCUUGGAACUGAAAAUAGUCCUUUGAAUCUUGCACUUGGAUACACAAUGUGUUCAGUGAAGACACUCAGAUACACAAUGUGUUCAGUGAAAGUGGAUUCCAAUUCUCCUUGUUAUAUUCCAUGCCACUACUGUCAAUAUAUCUACUAACUAAUUAGAUUUUUAGCUAGACUGCAGAGUAGCUAAUCAAAAUUUUAUGCUAAAAUGUGAUGAGCAAUAAGAGAAUCUUCUAAGGUUCCUCAUGUGCCACAUGAUGUAAUUAAUGAAAGUCAUCUAGAUAUAGCUGACAGUCCUGUUAGUGACAUAUAUGUUGGAUCUUUAUCAGCGUAGCUUCUGCACUCAAUCUUUAACCUCUUAAAUGGUUUAAUCUUAUAUUUGUGUCUCACUUUAUUGGGUUUGGAUUUAAGGUGUNUAGUUCUAGAUCUGGUCCAAGACGAACUGUUGUAGGAGAUUUAUUGAAAAAUUGAAUUCAACAAUUAGAGCACAAUUCAUAAUAUAUCAUUUUCACAUACUAUGAACAUGCAAUUUCAUCAACAACAAUUCAAUUAUCACCAAUUUCAUGUACUCAAACAUAUCAUCACAACAAGAGCACGAAUUUCAAUAACUAAGAACAAAAUAAUCACUUAUUCAAUUAAGCACUUAAGCAUACAAUUAAGGAAAAAUUACAACUAAUUGAUUAUGAUUGAAAUCUAACCCCCUUACCUCAAUUAGCAAUAAUCCUAGCAAAAGCUUCAAUUGAGCUCCUAUAAUCUCUAUCACUUCUUAAGUCUUCAAGCUUCUCUCCCUUCUAACCCUUUUAUCUUCUCUUGAACUUUCUCUCUCUACCUCUCUCAAAUUUCUUAUGAAAUGAAAUGAAUGAAACCUAUUUUCUCUAAAGACAAGGGUUUAUAUAGGCUCCUCUCAAAUGGGCUUAACCCUAAUACCUUAGUGGGCUUAACUCACUACUCAAUCAUAAAUUCUAAAAUAUUUCUACUCACUUAACGGUAAAAUAAUAACAGCGAUUACUUACCGACUCACAACUAAUUACCACACUAGUAACUUAGUAAAAUAAUGGUUCUCACUUGAAAAACUAAAAAUAAUCCUCACUAUGAAUUUACAAAAUUACCAUUCCAACACGUAAACCCAUAAAAAUGCACCCAAUAGAUAAUCACAAACAAGCACAUAUAAACACAUAUUAAAACAAUUAAAAUAAUUCUAGCGACAAUCGUGCUGUUACACAAUGAGUUUUAGUGAUAUUAGUUGUAUUCUUUCACAUUAACGUGUGCUCCUUCAUCACUCACCUCAGUCUAACGAGUUUCUCUAAUAUAGUUUGGUGUGCACUACAUCAAGACGACAAUGACUCAUUCUCCACACAAACACUCAUGUAUAUUUUUCUAGGAUUUCAUUUAUUAUUGUUAUUUGCACACAUUUACAAUUCGAGAUAAGAAAUGUAACACUCCGUUUUCUCAACAUAAAAAUUUCAUAACAAUUAAUCAGAGUUUUCCACAUAAACGGAAUGCUACACUUAUUAAAAAUCAUAAAUGGAAUAAAUAACAAUUUAUCCUUCAUAAUUCAAUUCAACAUAAAUAUUCAGAACUUCGCAGCGGAUUUAAUUCAACAACUAAAAUAGUCUUUGGCACGAAGGCCUCAUCAUAACAUCUCAUAAAAAUCCAAACUAAAUCAUAGUCAUGUAAAAUCAUAAGCAAUACGUAAGAAAUAGAAAAUAGCCACAAAAGUUCCCAUCUCGUUACGUAUCAGAGAACCUAAAGACACAGUGAGAUAUAGCCACUCACGACAACAAUCAACAACUACUUAUUCUCGAUCACCUGCAAGUUACUCAUACGAAGAGAAACAUUUCCAAGCAGAAGGGGUGAGAUUUCACAAUCAAUAAUAUUAAGCAUAUAAUUCAACAAUUAAAUUUAACAACAUAAACAUUAUUAAUUAAUAAUAAUAAUUCUUCAUAUAGUGCUCCAUUAAUAGUUCAAUCCACUUCUAAUCAUCAUUAACUUAUAACAAAUAUAAACAACAACAUAAUCUCAUCUUAUAAUAACAUAAGCAACAACAUAUUCAUCAUCUUAUAAUAAUAAUAUAAACACAACAUAAUCAUUAAUAUUCCAUGGUUUGUCAUCAACAACAACUUCAACGAUUCAACGACGACAACGUCAACCUGACAAUACAGCUACGUGAGAGUACACCACCUCUUAUAAUACGACAACGUAAGAGUACACCACCUCUUAUAAAACCACAACGUAAGAGUACACCACCUCUUAUAGAACAACAACAUAAGAGUACACCACCUCUUAUAAACAACAACGUAAGAGUACACAACCUCUCAUAAACAACAACGUAAGAGUACACCACCUCUCACAAAACACCUGAACAUAAACAGUNNNNNNNNNNNNNNNNNNNNNNNNNNNNNNNNNNNNNNNNNNNNNNNNNNNNNNNNNNNNNNNNNNNNNNNNNNNNNNNNNNNNNNNNNNNNNNNNNNNNNNNNNNNNNNNNNNNNNNNNNNNNNNNNNNNNNNNNNNNNNNNNNNNNNNNNNNNNNNNNNNNNNNNNNNNNNNNNNNNNNNNNNNNNNNNNNNNNNNNNNNNNNNNNNNNNNNNNNNNNNNNNNNNNNNNNNNNNNNNNNNNNNNNNNNNNNNNNNNNNNNNNNNNNNNNNNNNNNNNNNNNNNNNNNNNNNNNNNNNNNNNNNNNNNNNNNNNNNNNNNNNNNNNNNNNNNNNNNNNNNNNNNNNNNNNNNNNNNNNNNNNNNNNNNNNNNNNNNNNNNNNNNNNNNNNNNNNNNNNNNNNNNNNNNNNNNNNNNNNNNNNNNNNNNNNNNNNNNNNNNNNNNNNNNNNNNNNNNNNNNNNNNNNNNNNNNNNNNNNNNNNNNNNNNNNNNNNNNNNNNNNNNNNNNNNNNNNNNNNNNNNNNNNNNNNNNNNNNNNNNNNNNNNNNNNNNNNNNNNNNNNNNNNNNNNNNNNNNNNNNNNNNNNNNNNNNNNNNNNNNNNNNNNNNNNNNNNNNNNNNNNNNNNNNNNNNNNNNNNNNNNNNNNNNNNNNNNNNNNNNNNNNNNNNNNNNNNNNNNNNNNNNNNNNNNNNNNNNNNNNNNNNNNNNNNNNNNNNNNNNNNNNNNNNNNNNNNNNNNNNNNNNNNNNNNNNNNNNNNNNNNNNNNNNNNNNNNNNNNNNNNNNNNNNNNNNNNNNNNNNNNNNNNNNNNNNNNNNNNNNNNNNNNNNNNNNNNNNNNNNNNNNNNNNNNNNNNNNNNNNNNNNNNNNNNNNNNNNNNNNNNNNNNNNNNNNNNNNNNNNNNNNNNNNNNNNNNNNNNNNNNNNNNNNNNNNNNNNNNNNNNNNNNNNNNNNNNNNNNNNNNNNNNNNNNNNNNNNNNNNNNNNNNNNNNNNNNNNNNNNNNNNNNNNNNNNNNNNNNNNNNNNNNNNNNNNNNNNNNNNNNNNNNNNNNNNNNNNNNNNNNNNNNNNNNNNNNNNNNNNNNNNNNNNNNNNNNNNNNNNNNNNNNNNNNNNNNNNNNNNNNNNNNNNNNNNNNNNNNNNNNNNNNNNNNNNNNNNNNNNNNNNNNNNNUUGGAGUAUUUUCAUCAUAUCUCAAAAACCAAAAAUCAUUUUCAAGUCAAACCAAUGCCAUUGGAAAGCUAACAAAAUUAUCUACAACUUUCAUGAAGACUCCCAAACCUAAUUCAGAACAGAAAAUUCCAGAAAAGUUGAUUUUCCUAUGCUCGUGAAAAGAGGACGACUGUGUUGAUCCCUGCUGACCCCUGUGUAGUAAUUUGAUCAUAUUUUGAGUUCUAUGUGCUUAAAUCGAGUGCCUCCAAAGCCGAGUGACAGAUAACAUCCAUAUCUACAACUUUCGUGAAGGCACCUAAACCCAGUUCGAAACUUAAACUUGUCAAACUGAGACAAUAAAAACGUGUUUUGCACACUGACAGCAAAAUCGCAGUUCAGCUGCGAUUUCGCCUUUGGGGAAAUCUUUUCGACUCCGUUUUCGAUCCAAUACUCUCCAAACAUGACCCUAAUCAUUACCCUAUGAUCACCCUAUCAUUAUAACACUAAUUAUUCAUCAACCUACUGUAUUAUCCACUCUUUUUAAGACUAGAAACUCAAUUCACCUAAACUAGUUUUCUUUAAUUCUCAACUUUCAAUUUCAUCUUUUAAUUCUAAUCUCUCAAAUUCUAAAACCUCAACCUACAACCAUGUUAAAUUCAUCUUCAGAAUCACAUACUCAUAAUUAUUGAAGGUUAGUCCCACCCUUACCUUAGUAUUGAUGAUCGGCGGUCUCUCUCUCACUCUUGGUUCUCUUCUUUUCUUGUUUUCUCUCUUUUUCUCCAAGAAGCAGUUUCGUAAAAACUUUUCCAAACCUAGUUUCCUCCUUAUAUCUCUUCUCAAUCCACUUUAUCUUAUUUCCUCUAUUUCCACUAAACUCUUAUAAAUUCAAAAACAGCCUCACAUCUCAAUAUUUAUUUUAUUUUCAAAUUUUAUUCUAGUAAAUAAUAAAAUAAAUCUUUAAAUAAAAUAUCAACACAUCACAUAAUCAUAUAAAAUCACAUAAAUCAUCAAAUUAUAUUUCUUUGUCUCUCUAAUUUAUAUGAUAUAUAAGUGAAAAGGAAAUGAAAGUACAAAAGAUGGUGUACAUAACCAAACCCCUCGAGGAAAUAAAAAGUAAGAGAAAGAUCAAUUAUUCAAUUGAAAACCUUUGAAAGUACUUAUGCCAAGUAUGAUAGGGUAAUUUUCUUUUAAUUUAUGAUGGAGAGAGUAAUCUAUUACUACUAUCAUCGCAUCGAAUUGAGGUAUGAAUGCAAAGUUUGGUUUUGUAGAUUUUUUUACUCAUGUCAUUUUUUAGGUUAUGAUUUUAAUUUUCCCAAUUCGAUUAUUUUACUCGUUUAGGGUUUUGAUCUGAAACCAGUAUUUGUGAAGAGAGAAGAACGUAAUGGAUUUAUCAGCAGUGAAAACCGCAUUGUAAUCCAAAUCUUACGACAAAAUUGCUGAUAUCUGCGAUAAUCUAAUGCUUCAGUUUCGUUACUUUCUUUCACUCUCACUCAGGUUGCUGCCAACGGUGUUGCUUUUCACGACGAAUGGCCCUACGCUGUUCAUCUUCUGGCUCACUUCUAUGUUCAUGACACGUAAUCUAUUUUCCCUCUACUUAAUUUUAUUAUUCAAAAUGUAUACAAAUAAAUAAUGAAGAUGGAAGUGUUAUAUGCUUCAAGUUAAAUUAGUUUAAUGUUGGAUUGAUAUAUUGCUACUGUUAUAAUCUUUGUUUUAUAAUUGACAAUAGGCUGUUAGAAUUGACUUAUUUUAGUUUACCUACUUACAUUAGCAUUUGUGAGACUCGCCCGAUUGGGUUGGACUUAUUUACUUACAUAAGCCCUUGCGAGACUAUUUGGUAGAUUUAUAGAAACAACCUAUGACAUGUCUAUAAGUUGUUUUCAGUUUAUUUCCAUAAGCUCUCCGGGAUUGCUUAUGAAAUGAAAUAGCUUAUAGCUUAUAUGAAAAUAGUUUGACUUUAUUUUAUUUUAUGCUAUAGAAACAGCUAUGCAUAAGUAUUUAUAUGAGAAGCACUAAUGCUAUAGACGUUUAAUUAAGUUGUUUAUCCAAACAGGAUCAGUAUUUUGGAAGGGAUGGGGUUGGUUAUAUCUUAUGUCUUGUAACUUCUUUGAUUUUAGGUUUUCAUGUUUUCUGUUGUGAUAUUACAGCAACAGUGCUCGUUUUCUAUGGAAAACAAUACCUUCAUCAAUCAAAGAAAGCAACCCUGAAGUCAAUGCUGUGUGGAAAAUUGGUCAACAGCUUUGGUUAAGGAACUAUGGUGGAGUGCAUGAGGCGGUCCGUGGUUUUGAGUGGAGUCCAGAACUCCAAAGCUUCAUUUCUGCUUUCUCAGGCAAGCAUUUAAGAAUUUUUGAUUUUUUUAAUUUUGUUAGCAGAGCUUUGAAAGUUCUGUAGAAAGAAACUCUUUGAUCUUCACUAUAUUUUAGGCAUGAUUCUGUUCAAUUUAUCUUCACUUAAAAUAUCUUCUUAAAACUAUAGCUGUAUAAGCUGUUACCAUAGACUCCUAAUUAUCUAAACGUAGCCCUUGCUUUUAUUAUAACCCAUUAUAUCUUGUUAAUUUUGUCAGCAGACUAUAUUUUAUCAUGAAAGUAAGCCAUUUCUGUGUGGGACGAUCACUAAACCAUUGAUGUAUUGAUUAUUGAAUCUGUAGUAUUGUUGGUUGUUUACAUUACUGUAUUUAGUGUUCAAGAUAGUGGCAUGUUGCUAUGGAUGGAAACAAGUGGCUAAAAAUUGUUAUUGAUUGUUUGCACUGCUGUGUAUAGUCUUCAAGAUAGUUGCAUGUUGCUUUAGUAUGUUAUGGAUGGAAACAUUGCAAAAAGUUGAAUUGGUUUGAUCGGAAAAAAGUGUAAUAUAGUUUGAACUUGGGAAGAACAGUGAUUGAUCACUUGUUUUUGGCUGUUAUCUUCCUCUUUAAAUAUAACUCAAAAGAGUUUGAUGAAUAAUAUAAUUUCUUUGGCCAACAUGAAAUGUUGAUGAAGGUGCCAUGGAUCACAUAAAAUUUAGUAAACUAGUAAUGUACCACUCCUGCAAUAACUUCUGCAAUUGUUUUAUUAUGUUUCUUGCUUUUCAAUUUAUUUUCUAAGCAGGUUGACUGCAAAAGUCUUUUGCAUCUAUAUGUUUUUUUUUUCUUCUAAAGAAGAGUUGUACAGCACAAAAGUUAAUACAACCAAUAUGCUUUUUCCAGACCUUUACACAAAGGAGAUUUUUCACCUUCUUGUAUCUGCUUAUUCUACAAUAAGUGUUGAAGAUGUUGCUUUAUUUCUGGGAAUGAGUGAGGAUGCUGCUACAAGUUGUAAGUAGUUUUAUGUUCAUUUUUAAAUCAAACAAUGCUUGUCUAUUUGUUUUAGCACCUCUUGCAUCAUAAACAAUGUUUACGUGAUAAUUUUUUUUUACAUUAAAUAACAUCCACAAGCAAUCAAUGCAUUUAUUAUAACUUGAUUGGGGUCAACGUUAUUUCUGCAUGACUAGAUGAAGUUCAUUAAUGCCCGGCCUCUAUCCUUUCUCGACGACCCUUGGAACUGAAAAUAGUCCUUUGAAUCUUGCACUUGGAUACACAAUGUGUUCAGUGAAGACACUCAGAUACACAAUGUGUUCAGUGAAAGUGGAUUCCAAUUCUCCUUGUUAUAUUCCAUGCCACUACUGUCAAUAUAUCUACUAACUAAUUAGAUUUUUAGCUAGACUGCAGAGUAGCUAAUCAAAAUUUUAUGCUAAAAUGUGAUGAGCAAUAAGAGAAUCUUCUAAGGUUCCUCAUGUGCCACAUGAUGUAAUUAAUGAAAGUCAUCUAGAUAUAGCUGACAGUCCUGUUAGUGACAUAUAUGUUGGAUCUUUAUCAGCGUAGCUUCUGCACUCAAUCUUUAACCUCUUAAAUGGUUUAAUCUUAUAUUUGUGUCUCACUUUAUUGGGUUUGGAUUUAAGGUGGUUUGUUUUUGGGUCUAUUGACACUGUAGAAACCACGGUUUGGAAAUAUAUGUUUUUUUACGGAGAGCAGUUGCUGAAUUUGAGGCUAACUGUUUCUUGAAAUUCUAAGUAUCUGACAAGUAUACACUUGGAAUGAGGAGAAAAGAGAAGGAAAUAGAAUGAAUAUUGGAUUAUCAAUUCAAGAAGUCAGUCAGUGAAAAAUGGAGGAGAAAAUAAUGGGGGUGGGAACCAAAAGGAAAAAAAUGAAUGAAAGAUUAAAACUUCCCUGCACUAUCUAAUAUUAUCAGUUUAACUUUUCCCUCUCCUAGAAACAGUAGAACUUGGAUAUUGGUUAUAUUUUGUGCUUGGAUUGAGAAAUUAAUCAAAAUUAUAUUUGAAGCCCAAAUCAACGUGAUAAUUGGCAUUUGAUGAUGAAUUGGUGUUGUCAUACAGCGGCUAUCGUGGUGCUUUAGUGCCAUAACGUGGCGGAAUUUUGACAAACCGCUAUUGCUCCCCAGCGAUACGCGAUUAAGUCCAAAAUGAUGUCAACUUGCAACUGUAUAGGUACUAUAACUCUGUAGUGUAGCGGAAUUUGAACAAUCCACUAUUUUCCACCAUCUACAAUUGACAACACUGGUCAAUCUGGCAGGCUGGAAGUGAUCAUGACAACUACUAACAAUGAGCUAUCUUGGAAACUGCAACCUCUGCUUGUGUAGUCUUAUUUUUGCUGCCUUUUGAAAAAUUAAUCAAGCAUUAAAUUAUAUCAACCAUCUCUUCCCUUUCUAUGAUAUCAUUAUAGACUUUUUGAUUGUAUGAUUGUAGAUGUACUACAACAAGGUUGGACCGUGGACAAUGCCUCUCGGAUGCUUACUGUGAAGAAGCAACCUGUUGUGUCAGUGCAGAAACUUGAUCCUCGCAAAUUGCAACAGCUGACAGAAUAUGUCUUCCAUCUUGAGCAUUGAAGCUUUUAAUCUUGUGAAGGAAUUAGACGAAUGUUUUUCUGAAACUCUUCAAUCACGUGAUCCACCUUUUGAAGGUGUAUGAAAGUGCAUAUAUUCUAUUGAUAGUUUUGGAAACAAGGCAGAAUCUUUCUUGUGUUUUAACUUGAGCUCUGAUUAGAUGAAUUUUGCAUGGCACUUCUGGUAGUUAUUGAACAUGCCGUUUUCUUGUAUGAUAGCGAAACGUAAAGAAUUUUGCUGAUUAAACCUGCUUUAGAGAAAUCCAGUUACUCUGUAUAUUCUUUAGUACAGUGAAUAUUUUUUCAUGGGAUUAUUAUGUGAGAGUUGCUGUUUACACAUAUGCUUGGGCUGAAAAACACAUGUAAAAGACGAAAAUGCCCCUGCGGUAGUUAACUACCGAAGUUUGGAACCGGUUGCAGUUAACUACCGAAGUUUCUUCGGCAGUUAACUGCCGAUGAAAAAACGACAAAAAAAAAAACCUCGGCACUUAACUGCCGAGGAACUCAUCAAACUUUUUUUUCUUUUUAAAACAGAGUACUUCCUACAAACUUGAAAUGAUACUUCCUACAAAAAUAAUACUUACUUUUCUGCCAUAAAAUGUCAUUGUGUCACCAUCCAUGGCAAAUAGAAAUUGGUUUGUAACAUUUGGCAAAAUAUCCACCACUAAUAUGAUGUCUCGGAAAUAAAUUGCUAUUAAUUGAUUGCAAUGAUUCUUUAGGCAUGUUUAUAUAAAAGUACUAUGUAUAUUCUGUACAUAUUUAUAACAAAUCAGCAACAAUGCUGAAAAAGGAAAAACAAAUGUUCAUGAGUUCCUCGGUACUUAAGUGCCGAGGUUUUUUUUUUUGUUUUUUCCGUCGGCAGUUAAUUACCGAAGGGAAGAAACUUCGGUAGUUAACUGCAGCCGGUUCAUUAUUUCGGUAGUUAACUGCCGAGGGGUCAUUUUCGUCUUUUACUAGUGUUUCUCAGCCUUAUAACAUGUGUAAACAGCAAUUCUCUUAUUAUGUUACUUGUAGGCGGGGUAAUACUGAUAGUUAAUACGUAUUUUCAUCAUAAUUGGAUUUAGAUUGCUACUUUCUAGACCAACUAACCUGACAGCGAAACUGUUAACUAGUUAAAUAAGGAAAGCUAAGAUCUCACAACGUUGAAUUUAACGUGUUACAACUUACAAUAGUUCUUGGAACCUCUUUAACUAAAAAUAUUAGUUCUUGGAACGGUAAUUUUAGAAUUUUUUCAAUUUGGCCAUACUAUUGCGCUGCCCAACAUUAGUUGACCUGCAAACUUGUGGUAAGCACAUUAAUCUAAGACGGUGAUGACAAUGAUAAUCGCAAACAUGCCUUAUCAGCAAUAUAUAUUUAAAAUCAUGGCCCGGAACUAUCCAUAAUUUGGAGAAUAAUUCUAAGAAAUAAAGCCAAAGCUUUGAGUUUCCGAUGCGUUAGCAUAUUUUAGCAUAAAACUACUUAUAUUUAAAGAUAACCUAAACAAUUUGGUCCUCAAGAAUCAGCAACAAAAUUUGUUAACCAAAAAAUAUUAUGCAUGAAUAUAAGCAAUGUUCAGAAUCAAAUAUAAUGUUUCAGCUUAUAGCUAGUAAAUACGACCUCACCACCAUUUUCUCCACCGAUAUCUUUGUCUACCGCAUGUAGUCAUAUGCAAUAGACAAUCCUUUCCAUUAAUUUGUAACCUUUCCAUUAAUUUGUAAUUGGAUAGUCUAAAUCACACAUUCAAAAAUUCACCUUUAAAUAAUCUCAAAUAUCGAUAAAGAUUUGACUGUCAAUAACAGUUUUACCGUGACAGAUAAACCUUAUGUUUUAUUAUCAUUAUUAUAUUAUAAAAUAUAAUAUCAAGUGAUGUGAUGUGAUGUGAUGAUUGCACUAGUGACUUGGGUUCAUAUAAUUUGGACCGGUUAUACUUUAGGUUCAACAUGGACCACUCAAAUGACCUACUAAUGUAGGUUUGAAACCAGUCAAAAGUUCUGAAGCACACAACAAGUGAAUCGUACCAACCUGGAAGCUAUUAUUAUUGAGAAAUAAUAUUUGUACAAUCAUUUUGUGGCAAUUUUUUGACAACUCUCUCUCUUUCAUACUUACAUUAUAAUUUUAUUCUCUCUCUUCAUUUUUCUCUUUCCUUUAUUUUUGAUCAAUAAAAAAAGAGAAAAAUGAAGUUGUCAUCGUAGUUGUAAAAAAUGGUUGUUCAAAUAUCACUUUUUUUUUUUUUUUGGUACAUCACUACUCAUUAUUAUUAUUAAAUUUAAAAAUAAAUAACGUGUAUAAUAGACACCUGAUUGUUGUCCCUCCAUUAGAACGGUCGAAACUAUUACAAUUUAUAAAUCAAAAAGUUAAAAUUAAAAAUUUAAUAAAGUCUAUGGGUAAAAAAAACUAAGUAAAAAAUGAGAGAACGUGAGGCGAGCGAACGUGAGGCGAGGGUGCGCCUGCGAGGGGGCCGGCCGUUCCAACGGUGGCAACCGCGCCGGUGGCAUUCUCCUGUUGAGAGAAACACAGGGGGGGUUAGGGUUCAUGCCAGGGCGGCAUAUAUUGAGAGUGGGGGGGAUAGGGGUGGAUGGUCUGUUGUGCGGUCUCGGAAGUGGAAAGCGACGCAACCGGAGGAUCGAGGAUGGGACUGGUUCAGAGAUUCAGAGAGGCAGGGACGGCUGGUUCAGGGAAGAGGGUUUGCAGAUCAGAAUUCUGGUAGGUCAGUUUGGGCAGCGCGCGGCCAGGCUAGGGUUUAUGAUCAUUCACGUAAGCAUGCUGCGGACAGCAAGGGUUACUCAGCGAAUUCUCGUGACAGAGUCUCCUUCUAUUUCACAAAUAUCCCUCAACGUGUUCCUGGUCAUCGUUUACGUCAUUAUUUUGAGGUAUGUGGUAUUCUUUCAGAUGUGUUUGUAGCUAGACGGCUUAAUGCACGUGGUCAGGUUUAUGGGUUUGUUAGAUAUGUGAAUGUGAAAAAUAGAGACAAACUAGGACAGGCUUUGAAUAACAUUUGGAUUGGAGACUGCCGUAUAUGGGCUAGGGAAGCAAGGUUUGAUAGGUUUGCGGCUUUUGAUGAGGAAUGUAGGAAGGAUAAUUUGAUUAGUAGUAGUUCUUUGAAGGGUGUGGAGGUUCAGCCAGUAGUGAUAACUCAUGGAGAAGGGAUUGAGAAUGUGAGGGUGAGAAAGGAGGAGGAGGUGGAGAAGGAGAGUGACGGGAAUACUGUGGUAAAGUCUGGUAUGGAGGAUGGUAAGUUGGAUGAAAAAAAGAUAGUUGAAAAUAAUAAAAUAGAAAAGAAAAUGGAUGAAAAUAAUAUAGUUGAAAAUAAUAAAAAAGAAAAGAAGGGUGAGGAUGAGGGAGUUAAGGAGAAGGAGAGUCUUGUUUUAUGUUAUAACUCGAAAGCGGAGGAUCGGUUGUGGGCUAGUGGAGGUAUGGUGGCAAGGGUGUUAUCGGGUGACUCAUCGUUAUCCUUACAGCAUAGGGUGGAGGAUGCUGGUUUCUCAAAUGUUGUUGUUAUUCCUUUGGGAAGUGAUAGGGUUUUUUUGUAUUGUUUGGGAGAUGAGGAUAUUUGGAAUGUUUUCAAUGAUGCUAUUCAUUUUUUUGGGAUGCUCUUUGGGGAUUUGCAUAAAUGGUCACUAGUGGAUCUUAUUUAUGAAAGGGGUGCUUGGUUACGGAUUUAUGGUGUUCCUUUACAUGCAUGGAACAAUUCAUUUUAUCAAUUAUGUGUGGCAAAGUGUGGAAGAUUUAUUCGUUCUGAUGGGUGUACGGAGGAUAGGGGGCGGUUGGAUUACGCUCGUGUUCUUAUCUCGACAUCGCUUUUGGAGGUUAUUGAUAAUUCUUGUGAGGUUAUUAUUGAUGGAGUUAAACUUGAUCUAAAGUUGGUGGAGGAGUGGGGUUGUAAUCUAGGGGAGGAUGCUUUUUUGUCAGAUGAGAAUGUGGAGGCACCUUCGGAAGCUUUUCCUAAUUUCCAAGAUGAUAUCGAAACAGACGCGUUUAAACAGGAUAUUGAUUUUUUUGUGGAUGAUUUGAAUGAAGAUUGGAGGAAAGGGUGUGGUUCGAAUGAUGCUGCGGGUACUGUGUCUUGUAAUGAGGACUUUUUUGGGAAGAAGUUGCAGCCCUCGGUGGAGAAUAAGGAACCGGCCUUGGUCAGGGUGGCGGAUUGUGUUGGUAAGGAAGUAAACUCAUUAUCUCAUGGUGUCACUCGUUCGGUUAAGGUGUGUCCUACUUCUAGUGUGCCUUCUUCAAAAUCGAAACUUAAUGAUAAGAAGCAGAUGGGGGUCUCUUUUAAGCAUUCGGCGGGUUUUGUUAAAAGAAUUGCUCGGUUACCUUCGAAGGAUAGAAAGGAGAUUUUGAAAAUUCUACGAAAAAGAGAUCGAAAAAAAAAGGCUUUGAUCAAGACUUCUUUGGCAGUAAAUAAUUCAACCUCUACUUCUAAUAACUCGUCCAAUGCGUCGGUGAACAAAGAUUGGGAGCAUUGGGUGGUUCUUCAUGAUAAAAAGGAGAAGGUGGAGGAGGAUGUGAGGAAGUUGGGUAAGUUGUUGGGUGCUUCAGUUAAGGGUGAUAAUUUAAAUGGUUUCAAUUUGUUGACUAAGGAGGGUAGACGAGGGUUGAGGGCGGAGCGAGGGAGUAUGGAUGGGGAAGAUGUGGAGGUGGUUAGUAGGGGUGGUGGGGAUGAAAUGUAAGUGGAGGUGGGGAAGUGGUGGGUGGGGGUGGAGUCUAGGUGCUUAUGAAGAUUUUCUCUUAUAAUGUUAGGGGGUUGGGUGGUUUUGAGAAAAGAGCGGAGGUGCGGCAUUUGGUUCAAGAUAAGCAACCGUUUGUGUUAUGUCUACAAGAAUCUAAGUUGGGUUUGGUUGAUAAUUUUACAGUUAAAUCGGUGUGGGGCAGUAAUUGUUGUGGGUAUUCCUAUCAACCUUCUGUUGGGGCUUCAGGAGGGUUAUUAUCUAUUUGGGACUCGUCCGUGGUGGAGGUUUGGUGUACUGUGAGUUUCAGACAUGUUUUGAUUAUUAAAGGGAGGGUGUUAUUGUCAGGUCAAGAAUUUAUUAUUGUUAAUGUUUAUGCUCCUUGUGAUUUUGCUGCAAAACAAGUUUUAUGGGCUCGUCUGUCUGAUUUUAUUUUGAAUAACAAUGAAGCUAAUAUUUGUGUGUGUGGGGAUUUCAAUUCUAUUAGAGUGGCGGAAGAGAGAAGAGGUAGGAAUAUGAUUUUCAGACAAGUAGAUGCUGACCAGUUUAAUGAGUUCAUUGAAGGAAAUUUUCUGAUUGAUUUACCGCUGUGUGGUAGAUUAUUUACUUGGUUUCGGGGUGAUGGUAUCUCUAUGAGUAGAAUUGACAGAUUUCUGGUGUUUGCUAAGUGGAGUGAAUCUUGGCCUAACUGUAUUCAAGUUGCUUAUCAGCGGGGUUUAUCCGAUCAUGUUCCCCUUGUUUUAUUUGUUGAUGACUCAAAUUGGGGUCCUCGUCCUUUGCGUUUGUUAAAGUGUUGGUCCGAGUAUGCCGGUUAUGGUGAUUUUGUUUGAGAAAAAUUGAAUUCAUUCGACUUGGAAGGGUGGGGCGGCCAUGUGCUGAAAUUGAAGCUUAAGAUGAUUAAAUUGUGUCUUAAGGAGUGGCAUCAACUACAUUCCAAGAAUAUUGAUGGUCAGAUUGGGAAGAUUAAAAAUAAAAUUUCUAUUCUGGACACUAAGGCGGAGGAAUGUGAGUUGGUGGAGGAAGAAUCUAAGGAGCUUCGUGAUUUGUCUGUUGAGUUACAUUCUAUGUCACGUGUUUUUACUAGUAUGAAUUGGCAGAAGGCUAGGAUGAAUUGGAUGAGGGAGGGGGAUGCGAACUCUAAAUUUUUUCAUAAUGUAAUGUCUGCAAGACAACGAAGAAAUGCGUUACAGGUGAUCCAUGUUGAUGGCGUGUUGGUGGAAGGAGUCCAAGGCAUUCGAACAGCAGUUUUUAAUCAUUUUGCAAGCCAUUUCCGUAAUAUUGAUAUGGUGCGGCCAGGUGUGGAUGGUUUCAACUUUCGAAAGCUUUCUGUUAUCCAAGCUGGGAGUCUGGUUCGGCCUUUUACUUUGGAUGAGAUUAAAAAGGCGGUUUGGGACUGUGAUAGUUUUAAGAGCCCGGGUCCAGAUGGUAUUAAUGUGGGGUUCAUUAAAGAUUUUUUGAAUGAACUUAAAGAUGAUUUGUUGAGGUUUUUUGUGGAGUUCCAUCGAAAUGGGAAAUUAACGAAGGGUGUAAAUUCGACGUUCAUUGCUUUGAUUCCGAAGGUGGUUAGUCCUCAAAGGUUAGCUGAUUUUCGUCCCAUUUCUCUUGUGGGUUGCAUGUAUAAAUUGUUAGCUAAGGUCCUUGCUAAUCGCCUUCGUAGUGUUCUGGAUUUUGUGGUGUCGGAUGCUCAGUCAGCCUUUGUUCGAGGUAAGCAAAUUUUGGAUGGUAUUCUUAUUGCUAACGAGGUUGUUGAUGAGGCUAGGCGUAUGAAAAAAGAAUUAUUACUUUUUAAGGUUGAUUUUGAAAAGGCCUGUGACUCGAUUGAUUUUAAGUACAUUAAUUCGGUGAUGGUGAAUAUGAAUUUUCCAACUCUUUGGAGAAAAUGGAUUAUGGAAUGUAUUGGCACAGCCUCUGCAGCAGUUUUGGUUAAUGGGUGUCCGACGGAGGAGUUCCCGAUCCUGAGGGGUCUUAGACAGGGGGAUCCUCUUUCCCCUUUUUUGUUUUUACUGGCGGCCGAGGGGUUUGAUGUUAUGAUGAAGGCCUCUGUGUCGAAUGAUUUGUUUCAACCGUAUGGGGUAGGAGUUCAAGGGGAGGUUAAACUUUCUCAUCUUCAGUUUGCCGAUGAUACUCUUAUUAUUGGUGAGAAGUGUUGGUUGAAUGUUCGUACGAUUCGGGCGGUGUUACUUUUUCUUGAGGAAGUGUCAGGGUUGAAGGUUAACUUUAAUAAAAGUAUGUUGACUGGUGUUAAUAUUCCUAACUCAUGGUUAUCAGAAGCGGCUGCAGUGUUGAAUUGUAAAACUGGGAUACUUCCUUUUUUGUAUUUGGGCCUGCCUAUUGGUGGUGAUGAGAGAAAGCUCUGUUUUUGGAAACCUGUGUUGGAUCGUAUAUCUGCUAGAGUGUCGACAUGGAAUAAUAAGUAUUUAUCUUUUGGUGGUCGUCUGGUUCUCUUGAAGUCAGUCCUAUCCUCUCUCCCGGUUUACUUUCUUUCCUUCUUCAAGGCCCCUACAGGUAUCAUCUCCUCUAUCGAAUCUCUUUUUUAAAAAAUUCUUUUGGGGUGGGUGUGAGGGUUCUAACAAAAUUGCCUGGAUUAAUUGGGAUUCUAUUUGUCUACCCUUGAGUCGUGGUGGUUUAGGGGUCUGGAAAUUAGGGGAUUUUAAUCUGUCGUUAUUAGGUAAAUGGUGUUGGUGGAUAAGAAUGGCCUGUGGUACAGAGUUUUAAAGGCUCGGUAUGGGGAAGUUGGGGGUCGGAUUAAGGAGGGAGGGCGUCUUUCCUCUAGGUGGUGGAGACUGAUUUGUAGGGUGAGGGAUGGUACGGGGUUAUUGGUGGGAAGUUGGUGGGAAGAUAACAUUAGAAGGGUGGUAGGUAAUGGUCGUGACACUUUUUUUUGGACUGAUAAUUGGUUGGGUGAUGUUCCGUUAAAAAUUCAGUUUAGUCGUCUUUUUGAUUUAGCUGUUAAUAAGGAGUGUUCGGUGGAGGAUAUGGCGAGAGCGGGGUGGGAAGAUGGUGGAGGUGGUUGGGAGUGGAGGCGCCGUUUAUUUGCUUGGGAGGAGGAAGGCGUGAGGGAUUGUGUCAAUUUGUUACAUAACAUUGUUUUGCAGGAUAAUAUUCAGGACCAGUGGAGGUGGUUACUUGAUCCUAUUCAUGGUUAUACGGUUAAGGGGACUUAUUGUUUCUUAACCAAUAAGGAGGUUCAGGUGACUGAUGUUGAAGGUCUUGAUGUAUAGCAUAAAUGUGUUCCUUCCAAGGUGUCUGUGUUUGCUUGGCGUCUUCUUCAAGACAGAGUUGCUACUCGCGCUAAUCUGGUGCGCCGUCGAGUUUUACAAGCUACUGAUAAUUUGUGUGUUGGUGGAUGUGGCUACUCUGAGACGGCGAAUCAUCUUUUUUUUCAGUGUACUUCUUUUGGGCAGGUCUGGUAUUUUGUGUGCCAGUGGCUUGGUAUACCUUGCGUUUUUCAGGGCUCGGUUAAACGACACUUUCUUCAGUUUAGCCAGAUGGCAGGGAUGACGCAUCAUUCUCAUGUUUUUAUGAAGGUUAUUUGGUUGGCUUGUGUUUGGGCAAUCUGGAAGGAGAGAAAUAACUGUGUUUUCAAUAUGGUGGUUAUCAAUCCUGUUAACAUUUUUGAAAGAGUGAAGUUGUUGUCUUUUCUUUGGCUUUCAUCCAACAUGGCUAGUUUUUCGUUUGGUUUUCAUGAUUGGUGGCGUUUUCCACGGUUUUGUAUGGGUAUUAUGUAAUCUAUUGUAGCUUUCAGCUUUCUUGGCAUCACUUUUAGGUGCUUUUGUUUGUAACAGACUUUAGGUGUUUUUUCACUUUUGCACACCUUGUGCAGGGCGAUUCACCUUUCUUUUGAGCAAUAUAUCCCAUUUUGAUUUGUUCAAAAAAAAAAAAAAAAAAAAGUCUAUGGUGCAUCAUCGACAAUAUUGAUCCAGUUUAGACAUUUAGUGUUAAAAAUUUAAUGGUGAUGACCAAUAACCAACGACAGGAUAUAUAUAAGGGAGCAAUUUACAAAUUUUAAUAAUCAUGAGAUCAUUUCGAAACAAAGAAUUAAGUUAAGGGACAGACUAUCUAUUUUUUUAUUUUUUUUAUUUUUUAGUUUUUGUAAAAAAGUGAAAAACAAUAAGUGGCUUAAGAAGGGUUUUAUUAUCAUUGUUGUUACCAUCAACGCUCAGCUCACUCACCACACGACCAUAUUUCCUUUCACAACCUUCACCUUAUGUUAGAGAAUCAGGGGCUGUAUGAACAUGUAUUCAAUUUAGCUUCACCAUAAGCAGCAACAAGUAUUUCAAUUCUUCUCAUGUGAAUCAUAUUAUCUCAGUUAUUCUCCUCUUCUCACUGACGACUCACUCGCCUCACCCUAACGUCUGUAUUAUCUCAUCCUUGUGUUUACUCUCCCGCUGUUUUCUCUCGUCUCUCUCUCACCUCUUGUUGUUAGAUAAGCUAAGGUAAGCCAAUUGAUUCUCCAAUUUCUCAUUUCUUCUCUAUUUGAAUUGGAUUAAGUAUUUUGUUUUAAUGUGCUCCAAGUGUUCGACAAAAUGCUGAAUGAUUAAAUUUCUGUUACUUUAAUGGUGAGAAAAGACUUUGUAUGUACGUGUGUUUGUAUUUAAUUAUUUAUGGUUCUAAGUUUGUUUCAUUUUGGAGCAAAACAAAAGAUUAAGUUUGAUAAUUUGAAUGAAAAGAGAUGUUAUGAAUCAUUAACAAUUACUUUGGUUUUAAUUGUAAAUGUUUCUAUUUCUAUAAAUUUUGUGCAUAUCACUUGCUUGAUAAUUUGCAUGAAAAAGGAUGCGAUGAAUCAUUAACAAUUACUUUGGUUUUAACUGUUAAUGGUUCUAUUUCUAAGAGUUUUGUUUACGUGCUAGGGUUGUAUAAGUGUUUGAUGUGAUUUAAUUAGGUAGAAGAUGGAAGUUUUGUAUGGAACUCGAAAUUUUCUUGAGGAAGUUUUAUAUGCAAAUCUUGAUAUUGUAAGUGAUGUGAUGUAAGUUUAUGAUAAGUGAUGAUAAUGUUAUAUUAUCUGACUAGUAGCUGAUAGGAGUCUAGUGAGAGAAAUUCUGUUAAUGGGGAUUAAUCCUAGAGCUAAGUAAUUGUAAAUAUAACAUUGAGGAGGUAAAAAUUUCUGCAUGUUUUUGUUGCUAAAAAGAAUGCUACUGUUGUAAAUACCUUAGGCCAAAACUCUGUCUUCCAACUUCGUCUUCUUCUUUCCGCAACGAAACGUUACGAUGAACAUGCUGGAUUGUUCUCGAAUCUAAAAGGUGCGAAAAAAAUAUCCUCCCUAAUCCUCAUGUUAUUUAAAUUAUCCUUACCAAAACAACAAGUUUUGUCUAUAAUGUUAGAAUUAAUUUGAUUUUAAUGAGUUUUAAUGGGUGGAACGGUGGAUUUUGUGUCUAUAUUUUAAAGCUGAAAAAGUUAAAUUUGAGCAUAAACCUGAGUAAUUUACCAUUAUUACUGUAAAUUUGUUGACCAAAUACCAAACUGUGAAUCUGUAAAAAGACAGGAAUUUGUUUGACUGAAGUUUUAAUGGGUGGAUUUUUUUUGAUAAUUAAUAAACAAUUGAUUUGUGUUGAAUGUUGGUUUAUUGAUUGUUGCUAACAUAAAAACUGUGUCUGAAAUUCAGGAAGAACACGUAUAAUUGUUACCGGCUGUGGAAGUGAAAAAUGGAUGAUGCCGUAUCAAAUCCAUGUUACCCUUGAUGCAAUAUUACAUGAUGAAGCCAUCAGAAAAACUUUGAGAAGAAUCCCAAAACGCAAGCCAUUGAUUGAUUUGCAGAAGUAGCUUCAAGGGUUUUUGUUGGGUUUUUCUCUUCUACUCCUAAGAAAGAAAUGAAGUCACCUUAAUUUCAUUUCACUCUUCUUCAAACAAUGUAUCGACACCACCGUUUCACUCUCUCCACUCUCCGCUAUCUCACCCACACAAAUCCAUUUCCAUUCCACUCACACCCCCCUCGCCACUUCUCCACCACUCCCUUCCGCCGUCCACCACCCGACCCAAACGACCCUUCCACCCUCCUUAAGGAAGACGCUUUCUCGCUCAUCUCCAAUCUCUGGAUCGAAAACUUCCGCCAACCCGAUAAACUCAUCACCAACCUCUCCUCCACCCUCCGCCGCUUCGAACUCUGGCUCCUAGCUUACCAGAAAGUCACCACCGAUGAAACCGGUUCCUACACCCCUCGGUCCUCCAUCCAACGCUCUGAACUCGAAAACCUCCUCGCUCUUCGUAACGCCGUCGUUGACGGCAAUUUCAAAUGGGGCUCCCGUCUCAAAUUCUUCAUCAAAUCACCCAUUGAUAAAACCGAUCACGAUUCCUUAUCCAAAAGAAAAAUCAAAAUCAUCUUAAACACCACACAACCUACACCUUUUCAAGAUAGAAUUGUUCAGGAGGUUUUAUUAAUGAUUCUUGAACCAAUUUAUGAACCUAGGUUUUCAGAGAAAUCGUAUGCUUUUCGUCCUGGGAGGACGCCGCAUACGGUUUUGAGGGUGAUAAGAAGGAAUUUCGCAGGCUAUUUAUGGUAUUUGAAAGGUGAUUUGAGUACUUUGUUGGAUGGAGUAAAAGUAGGGUUAGUGAUUAAUUCUGUUAUGAGAGAUGUUAGGGAUAAGAUGGAUGUGGAUUUGUUGAAAUCCGCGUUGGUUACGCCGGUUGUAACGAGUAAGAUUGAUGAUAGGGAGGUGAAGAAGAAGAAGAGGAAGUAUCAGAAAAAGAGGGUUUUGAAUGAGGAUGAGCCAAAGCCGGAUCCUUAUUGGUUGGAUACUUUUUUUGGAUUUGCGCCAGAGGAAGCUGAGAAGGUUCCGAGUUGGGGACAUUGUGGAGUUUUGAGUCCGCUUUUGGCAAAUAUUGUUUUGGAUGAGUUGGAUCGUUGGUUGGAAGGGAAAAUGAAGGAGAUUUACGUUCCUUCUAAGAGUGAUGUUAUAUGGAAUAGUCCCGAAGGGGAAGCAGAGCAAGGGAACACUUCUUGGCCGGAGUUUGUGCCGACUAGUGGACCGGAUAAAACUAGGAAGAUGGAUUUUAUAAGAUAUGGAGGUCAUGUACUGAUCGGUGUUCGGGGUCCUAGAGCAGACACAGCGACGUUGAGGAAGCAGUUGAUUGAGUUUUGUGAUCAGAAGUUCAUGAUCAAGCUUGAUAACGAAUGCCUCCCUAUAGAACAUAUAACCAAAGGUAUAAUGUUUCUUGAUCAAGUGCUUUGUAGGAGAGUUGUUUAUCCGACACUUAGGUACACUGCAACUGGUGGUAAGAUCAUUAGAGAAAAGGGUGUAGGAACACUUUUAUCGGUCACCGCGAGCUUAAAGCAAUGUAUUAGGCAAUUUAGAAAGUUGAGUUUUCUUAAGGGUGAUAGGGAUCCUGAUCCACAGCCUUGUUUUAGGAUGUUUCAUGCCACUCAAGCUCAUACCAAUGCUCAAAUGAACAAGUUUUUGUCAACCAUGGUUGAGUGGUAUAGGUUUGCAGACAAUAGGAAGAAGAUUGUGAAUUUCUGUUCUUAUAUCAUAAGAGGUUCACUUGCAAAGCUCUAUGCUGCUAAAUACAAGCUUCGCUCGCGUGCGAAAGUAUAUAAGAUUGGUGCUCGAAACCUGAGCCGUCCGCUGAAGGAGAAGAAAGGGCAGUCUCCUGAAUACCAGAAUUUGCUUAGGAUGGGUCUUGCCGAAUCAAUUGAUGAGCUUCAGUAUACAAGGAUGUCCCUCGUGCCUGAGACGGAUUACACCCCAUUCCCUGGUAAUUGGAGGCCUGACCAUGUAAACGCAUUGCUAGAAUACAUAAAAUUAGCAGAUCCAAAGACUUCGGAGGAGCAACAGAGUUGCAUCAGAGAACAAGGUCUUGUUACACCCCAAGAUUAUAUUUCAAUGCUUGUUUGGAAUUACAAAAGGAACUCUCUUCCUAUGGACCAUUUCUCGUUAGCAAAGAGAGACGAAAGUGUUGUAGGGAAUCAACAUUUUCUAGCUUCCUCAAACCAGGACGACACAAGCAAAGAGGAAGAAAAUGAUGCAAGGAUAAAUGGAGCACAAAUGUAACAGAAGGGUUGGUAAUGUGCACUUGCAUUGAAAUGCUUUAAUUAUACUAUUUUUUUAUUUGUAUGUGUUUUUUGAAUAGGAUCUUUCAAGAUACUCUUGUUCUUUUACCUUCCUCCUCUUCCUCUCUGCUUUCUCUACCUUUUGAUCUAAUGUGUAGUCAUUAAAGUGUGUUACAAGAAUGAUGAAUGUUACAAAUAUAAAAGCCAUUCACAUGUGUUAUGUACCUUUUGUUUGCUGGUUACUUCAUGGAUUAUUGUUCGUUAUUAGACGAUGAAAUAUGUUGCCUGAGAAAUUGUGAUGUUACUUCACUUGUGUGUAUGUUAAAUGUUUGACGACUGCUACACAAAUUUUAUGAUGUAUGCUGCAAAACCGCCUGUUGUUGAGAUGUUUGAAGCACUGCGGAGUUUCUUUAUGGCGUGACAUAUUUCUGCCAUUCACAGUGAAAGUGGAUUCUAAUUCUCCUUGUUGUAUUCCAUGCCACUACUGUCAAUAUAUCUACUACUACUAACUAAUUGAAUUUUUAGCUAGACUGUAGACUGUUGAGUAGCUAAUUGAAUUUUAUGUAGAGUAGUUACAUGUUGCUUUAGUAUGUUAUGGAUGGAAACAUUGCAAAAAGUUGAAUUACUUUGAUGGAAAAAAGUGUAAUAUAGUUUCAACCUGGGAAGAACGGUGAUUGAUCACUUGUUUUUGGCUGUUCUCUUCCCCUUUAAAUAUAACUAAAAAAGAAUUUGAUGAAUAAUGUAAUUUCUUUGACCAACAUGUAUUGUUGACGAAGGUGCCAUGGAUCGCAUAAAAUUUAGUAAACUAGUGAUGUGCCACUUCUGCAAUGACUUUUGCAAUUGUUUUAAUAAGUAUGUUUCUUGCUUUUCAACUUAUUUUCUAUGCAGUUUGACUGCAAAAGUCUUUUGCAUCUAUAUGUUUUUUUUCCUUCCAAAUAUGAGUUGUACAACGCAAAAGUUAAUAUCACCAACAUGCUUUUUCCAGAACUUUACACAAAGGAGAUUUUUCAGCUUCUUGUAUCUGCUUAUUCUACAAUAAGUGUUGAAGAUGCUGCUUUAUUUCUGGGAAUGAGUGAGGAUGGUGCUACAAGUUGCAGGUAAUUUUAUGUUCAUUUUUAAAUCAAACAAUGCAUGUCUAUUUGUUUUAGCACCUUUUGGAUCAUAAACAAUGUUGUCCUGAUAUAUAUUUUUUUACAUUAAAUAACAUCCACAAGCAAUCAUUGUAUUUAUUAUAACUUGAUUAUGUUCAACAUUAUUUUUGCAUGACUAGAUGAUAUUCAUUAAUGCUUGGCCCUUAUCCUUUCUUGACGACCGUUGAACCGAAAAUAGUCCUUUUAAUCUUGCACUCGGAUACACAAUGUGUUCAGUGAAAGUGGAUUCCAAUUCUCCUUGUUGUAUUCCAUGCCACUACUGUCAAUAUAUCUACUAACUAAUUGGAUUUUUAGCUAGACUGUAGACUGUAGAGUAGCUAAUCAAAAUUUUAUGCUAAAAUGUGAUGGGCAAUAAGAGAAUCUUUUAAGGUUCCUCAUGUACCAUGUGAUGUAAUUAAUGGAAGUCAAGUAGAUAUAGCUGAGAGUCCUGUUAGUGACAUAUAUGUUGGAUCUUUAUUAGCGUAGCUUCUGCACUCAAUCUUUAACCUCUUAAAUGGUUUAAUCUUAUAUUUGUGUCUCACUUUAUUGGGUUUGGAUUUAAGGUGGUUUGUUUUUGGGUCUAUUGACACUGUAGAAACCACGGUUUGGAAAUAUAUGUUUUUUUACGGAGAGCAGUUGCUGAAUUUGAGGCUAACUGUUUCUUGAAAUUCUAAGUAUCUGACAAGUAUACACUUGGAAUGAGGAGAAAAGAGAAGGAAAUAGAAUGAAUAUUGGAUUAUCAAUUCAAGAAGUCAGUCAGUGAAAAAUGGAGGAGAAAAUAAUGGGGGUGGGAACCAAAAGGAAAAAAAUGAAUGAAAGAUUAAAACUUCCCUGCACUAUCUAAUAUUAUCAGUUUAACUUUUCCCUCUCCUAGAAACAGUAGAACUUGGAUAUUGGUUAUAUUUUGUGCUUGGAUUGAGAAAUUAAUCAAAAUUAUAUUUGAAGCCCAAAUCAACGUGAUAAUUGGCAUUUGAUGAUGAAUUGGUGUUGUCAUACAGCGGCUAUCGUGGUGCUUUAGUGCCAUAACGUGGCGGAAUUUUGACAAACCGCUAUUGCUCCCCAGCGAUACGCGAUUAAGUCCAAAAUGAUGUCAACUUGCAACUGUAUAGGUACUAUAACUCUGUAGUGUAGCGGAAUUUGAACAAUCCACUAUUUUCCACCAUCUACAAUUGACAACACUGGUCAAUCUGGCAGGCUGGAAGUGAUCAUGACAACUACUAACAAUGAGCUAUCUUGGAAACUGCAACCUCUGCUUGUGUAGUCUUAUUUUUGCUGCCUUUUGAAAAAUUAAUCAAGCAUUAAAUUAUAUCAACCAUCUCUUCCCUUUCUAUGAUAUCAUUAUAGACUUUUUGAUUGUAUGAUUGUAGAUGUACUACAACAAGGUUGGACCGUGGACAAUGCCUCUCGGAUGCUUACUGUGAAGAAGCAACCUGUUGCGUCAGUGCAGAAANGGAAUUUGAACAAUCCACUAUUUUCCACCAUCUACAAUUGACAACACUGGUCAAUCUGGCUGGCUGGAAGUGAACAUGACAAUUACUUAAAAUGAGCUAUCUUGGAAAGGCAGCUCUGCUUGUGUAGUCUUAUUUUUGCUGCCUUUUGAAAAAUUAAUCACGCAUUAAAUUAUAUCAACCAUCUCUUCCCUUCCUAUGAUAUCAUUAUAGACUUUUUGAAUGUAUGAUUGUAGAUGUACUACAACAAGGUUGGACCGUGGACAAUGCCUCUCGGAUGCUUACUGUGAAGAAGCAACCUGUUGCGUCAGUGCAGAAACUUGAUCCUCGCAAAUUGCAACAGCUGACAGAAUAUGUCUUCCAUCUUGAGCAUUGAAGAUUUUAAUCUUCUGAAGGAAUUAGAUGAAUGUUUUUCUAAAACUCUUCAAUCACGUGAUCCACCUUUCGAAGGUGUAUGAAAGUGCAUAUAUUCUAUUGAUAGUUUUGGAAACAAGGCAUAAUCUUUCCUGUGUUUUAACUUGAGCUCUGAUUAGAUGAAUUUUGCAUGGCACUUCUGGUAGUUAUUGAACAUGCCGUUCUCUUGUAUGAUAGCGAAAAGUAAAGAAUUUUUCCGAUUAAACCUGCUUUUGAGAAAUCCAGUUACUCUGUAUAUUCUUUAGUAUGUGAAUAUUUUUUCAUGGUAUUAUUAUGUUAUUUGCAGGGCUGAUAGUUUAUACAUAUUUUCA